rnacentral:lncRNA from 1 species
UCUCUCAAUAUUAUCACAUUGUUUGAAAUGUACAUAUGAUCAAUAAAAUCCUACAUAUGCAUUUUCUAUGAGAUGUGAUGUUUGAAUUUUGAGAUUGAUGUAUUUGAGUACAUAUUUAUGUAUACUCCUGGAAAUUUUGAUACUGAUUGAAAAAGACUUUGGCAACAUAGUGGCUGAUAGUUUACGUUUCAAGGUUCAAUAAAUAUUAUGGAUAUAUUGCUAUUGGUUAUUAGAAGCUAAGUGCAUCAACUUUGCUGUGCUGCAUAACCUAUCACAUCUUAGAAAAUUGACUUCUUUGAUCUGAGCUGGACUGUUAAUUUAAUUGUGAGUAUGUUAGUGGCUUAUGCUGCUAUUCUGGGCUAGGCUUCAUGAUCUCAGUUUGGAACCCAUAUGC